rnacentral:lncRNA from 1 species
AUGAGACAUGCUUGCAAGCUUCCUUUGUAUUUUUGCGCAAGGGGGGAAAAACACUGCUGUGGGGUUACUCUGGGACUUUCUGUGCUCGCCCCCUUUCCUGGCCGUGCUGGGACGGGGCCAGCAUCCUCUUCCGCUCAGAACAGACGGGAGAGAAGGGCACGGGGGCAAGCGGUGAGGGCUCGGCUGGGAGCAGAAAUUCCCCUUUCCAGAGCCAAACACCUCCCAGCUCGGGGUCUUUCCACCCCAAAUAGCUGCCCCCAUGCCCCCCCAGGGGGGAUCCAGCCCUGGGCUCAAGCCCUGGCACCCCCAGCCCCCCGACCUCCCGAGCCAAGGACCCGGCCGUGCUGCUGCCCUCGUGCCGAGGCUCCCCGGGGGGGGCCGCCCACUUAUUUACUGAUUCAGCAUCGCCCGCUGCCCUUAUCUUUCGUCAGCGCGAGCGCCUUUGCCAAAUAUUCUGCCAGAGCUGGAGGCUCCCUGCUGGAAUGCCCUGGCGUUUCUACGCAAGCAGCAGGCUCAAGGUAUUUUAAACACACAGGAGAAGCCCUGGCCGGCUGCGCAGGAAAGGCAGAAGGGUUAGGAUUUUGGCAGGAUGACGUGGGCACACCAUGUAGCUUUUGGGGAACGGUGCAGCAGGUACGAGCCAUCCCCAGCUCCAAAAUCAGUGGGGUUUCUGCUAGCAGCGUGCUGGCUGACACCUGGCCCAAAACCUUGUUUCCGUUUCCUUUAAAUUUCCCAGCAAAUGGUCAAGCUGCUCCCGUUCAGACACCCACACCGUCCUGCUGCCCUGUGCAUGAGGCUGCCUGGGGCCAUCCCAAAAGGUGCAGAAGGACUUGGGGUGUGCAGCAGAGCAGCCUGGGUCUGCUGUGCCCUGGCAGGACAGGGGGAAAAAGAGAUAAGGGCACUCAAAAGCAGGGGCUGAAGGUGUGUGGGGAAGGGAGCGAGGAGUGGAGCGCCUCGCCUUGCCCCCUGCACCCCGUCCCAUUUCCUUGCUGGCAGCCAAACGCACACGGCCCGGGGAGAGGCGAUAACACGGGGCCACAGCUCCCAGCUCAGCCCUGCCCUAACCUCGUGGCCAGCAGCAAUGAGGCCGAAAUGGGGAUUAAGGGGUGCUGGCUGAGCCCCGCCACGCUCAUGCCACCAGUGACGGAGCUCCAGCAGCUGCUGCUCCAGCAUCCCAGGGGGGGGGCUGCAAAAAGCCCCUGCGUGGGCUGGGGGCUCUGGGAGCAGCAGCAUCCAUCCCAAGGGGCUGCUCCUCGAGGAGGGGGCGGCGAGAAGCGGCCUGGUCUGAGCCCCCCCCGGCUCCCCCUGCUCCUGUCACCUCCCCGGGGGCCUUGA